AGUUCGAUCAUGGCUCGAUUGAACGCUGGCGGGAUGCCUUUACGCAUGCAAGUCGAACAGCGGCGGACUUCGGUCUGGUGGCGAGUGGCGAACGGGUGAGUAAUGUAUCGGAACGUGCCUAGUAGCGGGGAUAUUACCAUGAAAGCAUGCUUCAAUACCUGUACGCCCUUCGGGGAAAGCGGGGACCUUCAGGCCCUGCGCACCUAUUAGAGCGGCCGAUAUGGUUGGCUAGUUGGUGGAAAUGGCAGCUCACCAAGGCGACGAUCCGGCAACUGGUUUAGAGGACGAUAUCACACUGCGGGGACGAGGCAGCCGGACUCUACAGGGCGGCAGUGGGGAAUUUUUUGGACAAUGGAAACCCUGAUCCAGCCAUCCCGCGUGUGCGAUGAAGGCCUUCGGGUUGUAAAGCACUUUUGGCAGGAAGAAACGGCACGGGAUAUUACCCGAUGCGGCUGACUGGUGCAGGGCCAAGCACCGGCCAACUACGUUGCCAGCAGCCGCGGUAAUACGUAAGUGCAAGCGUUAAUCAAGGUACUGGGCGUAAAGCGUGCGCAGGCGGUUCGGAAAGAAAGAUGCGAAAUCCCAGAGCUUAACACUUUGGAACUGCAUUUUUAACUACCGAGCUAGAGUGUGUCAGAGGAGGUGGAAUUCCGCGUGUAACCAGUAUUAGCAGAAUAUGCGGAGGAACACCGAUGGCGAAGGCAGCCUCCUGGGAUAACACUGACGCUCAUGCACGAAAGCGUGGGGAGCAAACAGGAUUAGAUACCCUGGUAGUCCGCCCUAAACGAUGUCAACUAGCUGUUGGGGCCUUCGGGCCUUGGUAGCGCAGCUAACGCGUGAAGUUGACCGCCUGGGAGUACGGUCGCAGAUUAAAACUCAAAGGAAUUGGCGGGGACCCGCACAAGCGGUGGAUGAUGUGGAUUAAUUCGAUGCAACGCGAAAAACCUUACCUACCCUUGACAUGUCUGGAAUCCCAGAAAUUUGGGAGUGCUCGCAAGAGAACCGGAACACAGGUGCUGCAUGUGGCUGUCGUCAGCUCGUGUCGUGAGAUGUUGGGUUAAGUCCCCGCAACGAGCGCAACCCAUGACCAUUGAUUGCCACGAAGGGCACUCUAAUGAGACUGCCGGUGACAAACCGGAGGAAGGUGGGGAUGACGUCAAGUCCUCAUGGCCCUUAUGGGUAGGGCUUCACACGUCAUACAAUGGUCGGAACAGAGGGUCGCCUUCGCGAAGGGGGCGAUACAAAGAGCCCGAUCGUAGUCCGGAUCGCAGUCUACGCUCGACUGCGUGAAGUCAGAAUCGCUAGUAAUCGCGAGGAUCAGCAUGUCGCGGUGAAUGAUUUUCCCGGGUCUUGUCUGCACCGCCCGUCACACCAUGGGAGUGGGUUUUACCAGAAGUAGUUAGCUAACAUGAAGGAGGGCGAUUUCUGAUGGGAUUCGCUGACUGGAGAUCGUGCAAGGUAAG
rnacentral:rRNA from 1 species